rnacentral:lncRNA from 1 species
AAUAGACAAAGCAUAUGAGCCAACUAUUUUUAUAAUUGAACAACAGCUUUGCUGGACUGUAUUAUUUGGCAAAAGUUAAUUGCAUGAGAUGAACUCCAAGGUCAUUCCUCAAUAAACUGGCAUUCUCCCUGUUAGGGCUUGAAUCUGGAAAUAGGAAGAUAAGUUCCAAAUGGAACACCCAAANUUUGGCAAAAGUUAAUUGCAUGAGAUGAACUCCAAGGUCAUUCCUCAAUAAACUCGGCAUUCUCCCUGUUAGGGUUUGAAUCUGGAAAUAGGAAGAUAAGUCCCAAAUGGAACACCCAACCUCAGGGAGCUUAGGAGGCUGCUAAAGCUGAUGGAAGUGGCAGAGCAAGACAUGUAAGAAGAAGCUACAUAAGUGUUUUUGUUAGGCUUCAGAGACCUCUGAAAUUCUAUGGUUAGAGGCAUUCAAGUGGAUGAAUGAAUUCCUUCAGACUCCAUGUGAUGUGAAAGAAUACCUGAGUAUGAAAACACAAGAGCAAUAUGGCCGAAAACUUGUAUACUAUAAAGACUUUCCUUGGGAUACAUACAACCCAUUCUGCAGACUACUGCCAAUUGAAGAGUAUGCACACCAGCAUGGAGAAUGGGGAGGCAAAAGGAGAGAAUCUUCAAGCAAACUCCCCCAAGACCCAUAAGAUAUGACCUGAGCCACCCAGGGCUAAUCCUUUCUUCAGCUACCUCCAUUGUGCUGUCUGGAAUAGCUUGUGAUUGCUGAACGUGGAGGAGACAUCUUGAAUAAUGAUUUGGCCUUGGGAACAGAAACAAAGCACCAAGCAAGAAUGUAGAAGAAAUCUAUAGUUUUUGUAUUUUUUCAGCAACAUGCCACCACUUUCUAAUUUUUAUAAAUAUAUCAUGUAAAAAAUGCUAUUUUCCCAAUGUCAUUUCACGCUUUGUGUCACUCAUAUUUAAGCAUAAUUUUAACUACUAUGUAUUCGCUAUCCCUUCCUUCUCCAUUCUAGUAGCAAGUCCUUACUUAUCUACAAGUAAUCCUAACGCUUAACUAGCUUACUCAUUUUUAGAGUGUAUGUUAGCAUUCAUUUGUUCAAAUGCAUAUUUAAUGUUUGCCUGUCAGUUUAUUACGUGACAAGCAAAAGAAAAGUGAAAAGUUCUUUCAUCAUGG